UAGGGAAUAUUAGUAAUGGGCGAAAGCCUGAACUAGCAACGCCGCGUGUGCGAAGAAGGCCUUCGGGUUGUAAAGCACUUUUUGAGAGGAUGAGGAAGGACGGUACUCUCAGAAUAAGUCUCGGCUAACUACGUGCCAGCAGCCGCGGUAACACGUAGGAGGCGAACGUUAUCCGGAUUUACUGGGCGUAAAGCGCGUGUAGGUGGUUCGGUAAGUAGGGCGUGAAAGCUCCUGGCUCAACUGGGAGAGGCCGUUCUAAACUGGCGAACUAGAGGAUGGUAGAGGGAGGUGGAAUUCCGGGUGUAGCGGUGGAAUGCGCAGAUAUCCGGAGGAACACCAGUGGCGAAAGCGGCCUCCUGGACCACUCCUGACACUCAGACGCGAAAGCUAGGGUAGCAAACGG
rnacentral:rRNA from 1 species